CUUAACCUACUUAUUUUCUCUUAUUUCCAAAUCUACCCCCAAAGUCUCAAUAUUCUAUUCUAAUAUAUAUGUAUAAUAAAAUACUUCUAUAACAAAUAACAAAUAUAUCUCUAUAACAAAUAUAUUUAUGUACCAGAUAACAUAUAUAUUUCUUCACCAAAUUAGAUAUAUAUUUCUACACCAAAUAACAUAUAUAUUAUACUAAUAAAUACCAACAUAUAACAUAACAAAAUAUCACUCAUCAAAAUAAAUCGACUAAAUUAUAAAAAGACAUCUAAAUUCAAUAAAAUAAAUAAAUAUUAAAAUAGGGCGUUACAAACGUGCUUUCUAUCAUCGAUGAACCAGAGCAAAAUUACCAUUAGAUUCAAUCAAUGGUCAUGAUUUAUACAAAAUAAAAAUAAGAACAUUUAAGAAUUGCCUCGCACAAUCUUGCCCCUAUUAAACUUUUUUAUUUUUGGUAUUCAUCAUCUUCAACCUCCAUUCCAAUUUUUUCGUAAUAAAAAAAAAAAAAAAAACUCCAUUUCAAUUUAGGAGCAAUGCUACAAAAGAGAAUUUGCACAAAAAAUUGAGUGUGUCUUCAAAAGUUUACGGGGUUUGCUAAAAAUCUAGUUUAUGGGUUCAAUUGGAGGUGGUGACUAAUGAAAUUGGAGGUUUAACUCAUCCUUAAAAACCAGUUCAUAAGGUGAGUCACGCCCAGCACUCUUUGGGCUUACGUGAAUCGGUAGGUAUUUGGGCUUACGUGAAUCGAUAGGUAACUCUUGAAUUCGACAGGUUCUGAUACCAUAAUGAAAUUGGAGGCCUAACUCAUCCUUAAAAACUAAUUCAUAAGGUGAGAAUUGUCUCCUCUAUAUUAACUCUUAUCAAGAGUCUUAUCUUUUCGAUGUGGAACAUGAGUUUUUUUCAAUAAUGACCUUUAAAGUUUAAACACGCGGCAUCUUUGAAUUCUACAUAGAAAAAAAAAAUAGAAUUAUAGCGUGUUAUGUUUGUUUCUCUAGAGCAUGAGACAUUUCAUUGUUCAGUUUAUGUUGUCAUGGAAAGGCAUAUGAGUGAUGGGUGUACAUCAUCGAUCGGUGGUUUGAUUCUCGUGAAUAGAACAAAAAAAAUCUGAGCUCAAUGGUACAAAUCCUUACGAUGAAAGGUGAGAUAUAGUAGGAUUGUGUGUGGAUAGUUGUAAAUGUUAUCUUUUUUAAUUCUAGUAGAUCAAAAUUGUUAAUCUCAUUUCAUGGUAAAAAUUAAAUAGUCCAUUUGUGAGGGACUCAAUAGCUCCUUCACCUUAGACGUCACCCUUAAUUAAUAAGAAACUAACGGCGAGGGACUCAACUCCCUCACCUUAGACGUCACCAUUGAUUAAUAAGAAACUAACGAUUGAAGUAAAUAAACGAGAAAGAAACUCAAACUUCUUUCUAAACUUUCUUUCUCUUUCGUUCAUCAAGGAGGGGUGGUUUUUGACCUAGAAUCACCCCUCUACAUCUUUUUUCCCAUUUUCUUUCAAUCUAAAUAAGUGGUUUUCACAUACAAGUGUUUCCUUUUGUGUUUUUUGUGAUUUUGUCGUCUAAGUACAACGCUGUGUUGGUCGUCGUCUUGUGCGGCGUUUGAUUUCACGUCUUGUCGCGGCGUUCGUUUAGUUUCUAUUGAAAGAUUGACAUCGGUCAAUUAUAAAUCCAAUCAAUGAUUUGGGUGUGAAUGUUGCCGAUCUAGAAACAUGAGUAUUUCGGUGACUUAGAUUUAAUCAUAUUAGUUGUAGCAUUUUGUCAUUUUAUGUUAUUAACUUGGGUGCUGUGAGUUUGUUCGCAGUUUUACCCUUUACGUUUCUAGCGAUUUUUGUAUCUGAUGUACUCUAUCAAUCUGAAUGAAUGAAUAUCGUUUUGUUUUUAUUAAAAAAAAAAAAUAAAAAAAAAACUAACGGUUAAAAGUUUGCUCUACAUGCCUACAAUGAUAAUAAAUAGAGAUAAUUUACUACAACUUUUAAAACAAUGAUGCUCAUUUAUAGGAACUUUACCAUAAAUAAGUCUCCAAAGAAAAAAUGAUUUGGAUUGAGGAAUUGAAGGUUUCCAAAUAAGCUAUGUCCAUGAUUGAUCAUAUGCAGAAACUUGACAAAAACUAUCAGCAUCCUAAACUGAAAGAGAACCUGAUGAAGAACCCUUCUAAGCAAGAUAUUCAGUGGAAAACUAUACCCCGAUAUUUAUCAAAUUUCAUAUUUCACCAAUUCAACUCUCUCUAUCAAUAGUAUAUAUAUAAAGUAAGAUUUUUUAUGACACGUGUCACUUCCACGUUUAUUCGCAAUAUUUUUAUUUUUUUUCUAAUUUUUCAAAACCAAUAUUUAAUUUGGCAUAAAUAUCUCAACAAACUUUUGAUCUUAUCUAUUAAAUAUUUUACUUAACUAUUUAUUGAAUUCCUAAUAUUUUAUGUAAUAGAAAUAUCUCAACAAAAUUACAUACGAUACCCUUCAAUUAAAAAUCAUCAAUCAAUCAAUAGUAUAUAUAGUAAGGUUUCUUAUGCCACGUGUCACUUUCAUGUUUAUUCGCAAUAUUUUUAUUAUUUUUAUAUUUUUUAAAAUCAAUAUUUAAUUUUGUAAAAAAAAAAUCAAUAUUUAAUUUGGCAUAAAUAUUUCAACAAAAUUUUAACCUUAGGGAUGGCAAUGGGUACCCUAUCCCAAUGGAUAGGGUACUAUAGUACCCUAUCCAUUGGGUACUCAUUGCCAUAAAUGUAUUGGUCUAUUCUCCACUAUCAUAAAUAUAAAGUGAAAUAUAUUGAAUUGGAAAUGAUGAAAGUAGUAUUAAUUAGAGUUAUAAUUGAAAAAAAAAGUAAUUAAUAAUUGUAUUGAAAAGUUAAAUGCAUCAAGAUUUUUGAGACAAUAUUUUUUACAAAUAACUUAGUUAUUAUGGGACGGAGGGAGUAACACUUUAACAUGACAAUGAAAAGUAAAUUUAAGAAUUAAAAUGCAAGAAAUGAAGAGAAUGUUUCUCUAACACAAAACUAUUUUUUUUUUCUCUUUCACUUAUACACUUUUUUAAUGUGUAAAAUAAAAAAUAAAAAAAACUUAUGUAUAAUGAGACGGAGGGAGUAGUUAGUAAGAACAAAGUCGUCAAGGAACCAAUUAACUCUUGAUUUCACUUCCCAAAAACGUCUUGAUAGUGCUAUACUCCCUCCGUCCCAAAUUAUAAGCAAAAAAACAAAAAUCACACUUAUUAAGAAAACUAAAACAUAAAAAUUUGGAGUAUAGUUUUUUGUGUUUUCGUUGGAAAAAGUUUUAUAGGAAGAUGUAAAAACAAUUUUCAUUGGCUAUUGAUUAUGGAAAAAAUGAAAGAAAGAGAAAAUUGAAUGUAAUUUGCAUUUAAUUUUAUGAGAAUAACAAAAAAAAAUCUUGGAAAAGAUUAAAAUUUGUCUUUUUUCCUUAUAUUUUGGGACAAAGAAAAUGAAUUUCUUUUGCUUAUAUUAUGGAACGGAGGGAGUACUUGGUUAAGCUGGAUUGAGCAUUCAAUUCUAAUUUAAGGGCCUUUAAUUUACCUUAAAGAAUAAACAUAGGACAACCAACCACAUAAUUAUUUAUACCAAACAUUUUCCACCACGUGGGUGAUAUCUGGAAGAUGAGAGUCCAUUUAAGUGAGUCAAUGUGACGAAAAAAAAGAUAAAAUGGCAAUUUUAGGAUCGUAAAUUUCUGAAAAUAAUGGAAGUAGUAAUUCUUUUAACGUUUUCAUUGUUUUAAAAAAAUUAUCCAAUCAUAUUUUAUAUGCAAUUUUUGUUUUUUAGAUUAAUUAAACAAUAAAUUUUGUUAACCAGUGUCCUAAGGGUGAUGAUUAAGGAAUUCAAAUGUAAAAGUUUUGUCUUGUAAUUGUAGGAUGUUACAUUUGAUCAAGUAAUGAUUAUACUACUUUUUAUUAAAAACUUACUUGAUUUAGUUGUUUAACCAGUGUGAACACUAGUUAACAUUCUCCUUAAAUAAUUGAUGUUUCUGAAAUAUAAUAUAUAUAUAUAUAUAUAUAUAGCUCAGAUACAUCACUUAUUUAAUGAAGAGUUUUUUUUUUUUCCUUCUCUUAAUUAACGAAUAAAACUAACACUUAUAUAUCUACCAAAAAAAAAAAAAAACUAACACUUAUAUAAUAUAGUUCGGAUACAAUAUAUUUAUAUAAUAUAAUCCGGAUACAUCACUUAUAUAAUCAACAUUGCUAUUUACCGCGACAAGUUUUGUCCCGAAUGCAUCAAGAAUGAAAAUAAGCCAAUUAAAAACAGCUGUUAGUGGAAAUCAUGGGAGGUGGGGGAGAAAAAGAUGGAAAUCAUAAACUAAUGGAUGGAUGGCAUACAUGCCACAUGUGUCUGGAAAAUCUCGGGACAGUUUUAUUUCGUGUGAAAUAGCAUUUUUCCUUAUAUAAUAUAGUCCAGGUACAAGGCAACUAUCACCGGAUGAGGUUUUAUCUUUUUAUUAAUGAAUAAAACUUUUUUUAAGAAGCUAAAUGCAAAAUAUAUUAAAAACCAAAUUAGUUAAGCACAAGAUGUGCCAAACGAAAAACUGUGUAUAACGUCAAAGUAACAAACUCGAUAAAGAAAGAAACCACAAAUAAUAAAAAUCAAAAGCGAAAUUCAGUUUAUGUGUCUUUAGCCACCACAAAAAAUGAAAUUUAAUAUUGUCGAGAAGUUGAUCCUUAGAAGACACGUUGUUAUUGAAAUUUCUCGAGUUUCUCUCCUUCCAAAUUCUCUCCUUCGAAAUAACUCAAAGACAUGUCAGCACACCACUUUAAAACAAGAGCUAAUGUCCUUCCUGAAAGCAUGCGCGCCAAAAAAUUGUUGUGCGUGACAACCAAUAUUUGAUGGAACGACGGUAGUUUUACCCUACCAGAUCAACAAACACCCUACCAGAUCAACAAACAGGGAAAAUAAAUAAAAAAUAUUUUUGCAAAGUAAUUAAACGGAUUCUAAUGUUUAAUAGGAACCGAUCGAGGACAACAUAGAAAUCAUGCUGGAAUUUGAAGAAGAAAUACAAACCUAAUUAAAGAGAGGGGCUAAGUAUUUCCAAGCUGGAACUUGAAAAAGAAAAACCAUGCUCUAAUUAAGUAACUAAGUAAGGUAGUACAUUACAACAAUUGAGAUAAGUACGACACAUUAUGAUGAUUAUGACUUAUGAGCUGUUAAAUGAUGUUGUAGGAUUACUUUUUUCUUGUCAAAAAUAAAUAAAUGAUGUUGUAGGAGAAACAUUAUUAUAAACAUUAUUAUAACUUACAAGGACUAAUGUUUAAAAAAAAAAACUUACAAGGACUAAUAAUGAGACAGAACGAAAGUGUACGUGAGUGUAGGAGACACGUUAUUAUAACAUUUUAUAAAUAUUUAAACGUUGAUAAUAAUUUUGUCGAUCUAUAAACCACUACCAAUUCCUAGUUAAAUAUAUAAUAAUUUUUAUUAUAUUUGUUAGUUGAUGGUAAAAGAUGAAUAUAAUUUGUUACUAUAUUUUUUUUUGACAAAAUAAUUUGUUGCUAUUUAAAAUUCAUAAAUAUAGUCUAUACAUAUAAUUUUAAUAAAAAUAAAAAUUCACCCAAAAAAAAAUCAAAAAUUUCAUAAAAAAAUAAAUAUUGUUUAUAAUUCACGAGCGUUGUCGCAGUACAAAAAUGGAUAGAUGGAUACCCAGUACUAGUAAUUAAUGAAGUUAAUUGGUAAAAUUUCACUCUUACUGGUGGUUGAUGGUAGGGGUGUUUACGGUGCGGUUUGGUUCGGUUUUGAGAGAAAAAGUCAUCCAAACCGCAAGAUAAAAAAACAUGCGGUUUGUGUAACACCCACAGCUGACGAGGGCAGGGGAGUGGUCACCGGUGCACAAGGCACGCCAAUGAGCGGCUCCCGACAGCUUCUAGAGGAACCGAAUCACAUCUGAAUGAGAGGGAUCCUGAGGCCGUGUAGGUGUGGGACUACAUGAAUGAAGGAAUGCUUAUAAGAAUUGUUUGGUAAUACCUAUAUCAACAAGGUGCAUCUUCUUUUUGGUACCCUAUUCCAUAAGAACUCCACAGUUAAGCGUGCUUGACUUGGAGUAGUCUUUGGAUGGGUGACCUACCGGGAUUCCCGAUAAGCAUGCGAGUGAGGACAAAACACGCUGAAAAGACUCGUGUUGGUUUGUAGGGUCAGUCGACAAUGCUUAAAGUCGUCUGGGAUGUUACAGUUUGGUUUGGUUCGGUUGGCUUUAAAAUAAAAUCCGAACCAAACCAAACCAAUAUGGUUUGGGUUGUAUCGGUUGGUGCGGUUUUUUUCGUGACGAUACGAUUUUUUGUUUCCAACAUUAAAAUCAAGAUAAAAAGCUGAAACACAAUAUAUUUUCAACAAUGUUUUAAAUUUCAUCAAACAUUACAAUUUCAUUUUCAUUACAAUGUUUCCAACAACAUAAACCAAAUUAAAAACGCGGACAAAAAGUAAUCUUAUUUUGUAAGAAAUGCAAAAGACUGAGAUGUUCUCAUUCUCUAAAAGUUAAGUAGCACAUAAAUACAUUUUUAAAUAAAAAGCAAAUAAUGAACUUAACAAGAGAAAAAAAAUAUGACAUUUUAUAAAAGUUUUCAUUGAGUUUCUAUGAGUAUUGGUCUUGAUGACAUAUGUUUAAUUAACAUUUUUCUUAUGUUAUGGUUUGGUUUGGUUUUGUAUCUAUUUGACAGUCUCUUUGUACUUUGAGCGACCUCUUUAGUACGCCUUAUGCUAAAGAGGUGUCUCUCUUAUUGUGAAUAUAUAUCAUUUUACCUUCUUAAAAAAAAGUUAAUUGGUAAAAAAAAAAAAAAUUUCUCUCUUGAUUUAUAUGAAAUGACAUUUUUUUUUGGAACAUGGAGGGUAUUGAUUUUUACACCUUUUCAAAAGCCACUCAAGGAUGAAUAUAGAUUUUUCAUGCAUCAAACACAAGAAUCAUUAGCAUAACAUGCUUUGGAAAACACACACAUAUACUUAAAUUAAUGGUUGGAGUAUCAAAUUUAAAAAUAUUGUUGUCAAUACAUACCCCGUCAAUCCUCCUUUUUUACCCAAUAAACAUUGAAAUGUUGCUUCUUUCGUUAAGCAUAAAAACAUCAAAGUCUAGCAAAAUGUUGUUUUUGCGAUGACACAUUUCAUAUAGUUUAAAGGAUGCAUGAUUCGAUUACAAAAACAAAAUACUAAUAAUUCUAGCACAAAGUUUAAAGCUAAGAUUAUAAAGCUUCAUAGCAUGUGGAUAUUCAUUUAGAAAUAUAGGAUUAGGAUUGCCCCUUUCAUCACGGGUCUAAUAGCACCACUUGUCACUACAUGUUAAAAAUGUCCUCUAGUACAACACCGCUUUUUACUUGAUUCCCCUUGUCCAUGAAAAAAUCAAACAAUAUUUGGACACAAAAAUUUGCCCCCACUUUCCUUUUUCUUCUGCCCUAGUUUGUUUGAAAACUCAUAUUGAUCAAAUUUGGCUAUGAAUUCAAACAAAAAAUUCACUCUGCCCAUUGCAUGUGUGGGACCCACAUAUAAAUCCAUGAAGGAUUUCAAUGUCCAUCCAAGUCAAUGAUUCAACAUAUAACAUUGAAUAAUUUAAUUCCAAUUUGCAGUAUUAUGAUUUAGAUUGAUUGCUGCAAUACGGUCCGUGAAUGUAACUCACGAGAAAGAGGUAUCAAGGUAUUUUAUUUUAUUUUUAACAAAUAAAAUUUCAAGGUCUUGUUCACCAUAUAAACCUCCUCACUCUCACUCAAUUCUCUUAAGUGUAUGACUUCAUAGUAAACUACACUACUUUCUUUAAAACAUGGCUAACUAUGCUAUAGCCAAUGUUUUGAUCCUUCUCUUGAACUUGAGUACCUUACUCAAUGUUCUUGCUUGCCCUUAUUGUCCUUACCCAAGCCCUAAACCACCUUCACACCACCCUCCUAUUGUUAAGCCACCAGUUCACAAACCACCAAAGCAUUCUCCUACUCCUAAACCACCAGUUCAUAAACCACCAAGAUAUCCUCCUAAACCAUCACCUUGUCCACCCCCAUCAUCAACACCAAAACCACCUCAUCAUCCCAAACCCCCAGCAGUACACCCACCACAUGUUCCAAAACCACAUCCACCUUAUGUUCCAAAACCACCAAUUGUUAAACCUCCAAUAGUACAUCCACCUUACGUACCAAAACCCCCAGUUGUGAAACCACCACCAUAUGUCCCUAAACCACCUGUUGUGAGACCACCCUAUGUUCCUAAACCACCAGUUGUACCUGUAACACCACCUUAUGUUCCUAAGCCACCAAUUGUUUUCCCACCACAUGUUCCUCUACCUCCAGUUGUACCAUCACCACCACCUUAUGUACCAACACCUCCAAUUGUGAAACCACCAAUUGUUUUUCCACCACAUGUUCCUCUACCUCCAGUUGUGCCUGUAACACCACCUUAUGUGCAACCACCACCUAUUGUAACUCCACCAACACCAACACCUCCAAUUGUGACACCACCAACACCACCUAGUGAAACACCUUGUCCUCCACCACCACUUGUACCUUAUCCACCACCACCAGCACAACAAACAUGUUCCAUUGAUGCUUUGAAGUUGGGUGCAUGUGUUGAUGUGCUUGGUGGACUCAUACAUAUUGGUAUAGGUGGAAGUG
rnacentral:lncRNA from 1 species